rnacentral:rRNA from 1 species
AGUGAACGCUGGCGGUAGGCCUAACACAUGCAAGUCGAACGGCAGCACAGUAAGAGCUUGCUCUUACGGGUGGCGAGUGGCGGACGGGUGAGGAAUACAUCGGAAUCUACUUUUUCGUGGGGGAUAACGUAGGGAAACUUACGCUAAUACCGCAUACGACCUACGGGUGAAAGCAGGGGAUCUUCGGACCUUGCGCGAUUGAAUGAGACGAUGUCGGAUUAGCUAGUUGGCGGGGUAAAGGCCCACCAAGGCGACGAUCCGUAGCUGGUCUGAGAGGAUGAUCAGCCACACUGGAACUGAGACACGGUCCAGACUCCUACGGGAGGCAGCAGUGGGGAAUAUUGGACAAAGGGCGCAAGCCUGAUCCAGCCAUACCGCGUGGGUGAAGAAGGCCUUCGGGUUGUAAAGCCCUUUUGUUGGGAAAGAAAAGCAGCAGGUUAAUACCCCGCUGUUCUGACGGUACCCAAAGAAUAAGCACCGGCUAACUUCGUG